AUUGAACGCUGGCGGCAGGCUUAACACGCGCAAGUCGAGCGGUAACAGAGAGAAGCUUGCUUCUCUGCUGACGAGCGGCGGACGGGUGAGUAAUGCCUAGGAAUCUGCCUAGUAGUGGGGGAUAACUUGCCGAAAGGUAAGCUAAUACCGCAUACGUCCUACGGGAGAAAGGAGGGGACCUUCGGGCCUUUCGCUAUUAGAUGAGCCUAGGUCGGAUUAGUUAGUUGGUGAGGUAAUGGCUCACCAAGACCGCGAUCCGUAACUGGUCUGAGAGGAUGAUCAGUCACACUGGAACUGAGACACGGUCCAGACUCCUACGGGAGGCAGCAGUGGGGAAUAUUGGACAAUGGGGGGAACCCUGAUCCAGCCAUGCCGCGUGUGUGAAGAAGGUCUUAGGAUUGUAAAGCACUUUAAGUUGGGAGGAAGAGCAGUUAACUAAUAUUUGACUGUUUUGACGUUACCGACAGAAUAAGCACCGGCUAACUUCGUGCCAGCAGCCGCAGUAA
rnacentral:rRNA from 1 species